AGGGAGUGGAGGAGAAGGGCUGCAGCACGGCCAUCCCUCCUGCGGGUGCGUCUGGGCUUUGUCUGUCUUUAUCUCUGGCCAGUGCCCACGGCCUGUAGCAAGCUUUUCUGAUAGGGCUUGCUUGCUGCUCGCUCUCUUCUGCAUACCACAGACAGCUGGGCACGUUGGGCACGUUGGUCGGUGCAAUAGAGCAGUGCCGUGAUUCGAACCACUCAUCAGACUUCUUUGGAAUACUGUGACUUCUUCUUCCCGAUUUUAACUACAGACCCACAAGACGAAAACAAAAUUGGAAUUGAUGGGAUUCAACAGUUUUGUGAUGACUUAAGCCUAGACCCUGCCAGCCUCAGCGUUUUGGUGAUAGCGUGGAAAUUCAGGGCAGCAACUCAGUGUGAAUUCAGCAAACAGGAGUUUGUAGACGGCAUGACAGAGCUGGGUUUUGAAUUGACAGUAAAUACUGACAUGGUUUUUUCUACCAUUUAGUUUGAGAUGUAUACACCAUAUGCUAAGUCUUCACUGACUGUGUUGUCGUGUUAAACAUGGAGAAAUGUCA